rnacentral:rRNA from 1 species
CCCGUAGUCUGGGCGAAGCUGUCCAGCCAUGCCGCGUGAUGUGAAGGCCCUAGGGUGAAAGCUCUUUUGUGCGGGAAGAUAAUGACGGUACCGCAAGAAUAAGCCCCGGCUAACUUCGUGCCAGCAGCCGCGGUAAU